rnacentral:rRNA from 1 species
AGAGUUUGAUCCUGGCUCAGAUUGAACGCUGGCGGCAGGCUUAACACAUGCAAGUCGAGCGGAGAUGAGGUGCUUGCACCUUAUCUUAGCGGCGGACGGGUGAGUAAUGCUUAGGAAUCUGCCUAUUAGUGGGGGACAACAUUCCGAAAGGAAUGCUAAUACCGCAUACGUCCUACGGGAGAAAGCAGGGGAUCUUCGGACCUUGCGCUAAUAGAUGAGCCUAAGUCGGAUUAGCUAGUUGGUGGGGUAAAGGCCUACCAAGGCGACGAUCUGUAGCGGGUCUGAGAGGAUGAUCCGCCACACUGGGACUGAGACACGGCCCAG